rnacentral:rRNA from 1 species
UACGUAAGUGGCAAGCGUUGUCCGGAUUUACUGGGCGUAAAGAGCGCGCAGGCGGUCGGCCAAGUCGAGUGUGAAAGCCCCCGGCUCAACUGGGGAGGGUCAUUCGAUACUGGUCGACUCGAAGGCAGGAGAGGGAAGCGGAAUUCCCGGUGUAGUGGUGGAAUGCGUAGAUAUCGGGAGGAACACCAGUGGCGAAGGCGGCUUCCUGGCCUGUUCUUGACGCUGAGGCGCGAAAGCUAGGGGAGCAAACGGG